GUUAUAGCAAGAUUUAAAAAAACAUAAAGGGAACUGAAAAAGCAGUCCUCAGGGGCAUCACAGAAAAGUAACAUAUGCACUACUAAGACAUCUGGAAACUACCUAAGGGACACCGUAUACAACAAAAGAUAGUAGGGUUCAGUAUGGAGAGACGCUCAUAUAUGAUAUAUAGAUGUGCUUCCAAGGUGCAAUGGAUUUACAACUAUACAAAAUCUACUGGAACACCUGUGGAAAUCAUAAAGAUUAUGAUAUUAUCAGAUGUGAAUGCAGGAA